CGUUGGAUCUCCCUUGGCUGCCAAAGCCUUUGGCUCUAUGUUGAGUAACAGGACUAGUGUAAAUGAAUGGAAGGAUGUAUUAGCUAAAAGUGACAUUUGUAGUGAGAAAACCGGAAUUUUACCGAUCCUCAAGCUCAGUUUUGAUGACCUAUCCUCAGAUAUGAAGCAGUGCUUUGCAUUUUGUGCUUUAUUUCCUAAAGAUUAUGAGAUUGAUGUGGACCUCUUGAUUCGACUGUGGAUGGCACAUGACUUCAUACCUGUGCAGGAGGAUGACAAUCUAGAAACCAUAGGAAAAUAUAUUUUUGAGGAGCUAACUCGGAGGUCAUUCUUUCAAGAUGUCAGGCAAACACUUCAAUUUGACUAUUUUGGAAGCAGGUUGUCGCUUCGUAAGUCAACCAUAUGCAAGAUACAUGAUCUCAUGCAUGACAUUGCUCUAUCUGUUCUGGGGAAAGAAUGUGUCACUAUAGUUGGUAAGCCGAGCGUCAACAAGCUGUUGCUAAAUCCGACCCGCCACGUCUUCUUAUCACUAUAUGGUUUCAAUCCUACUUUCUGGAAAGAACAGGUUACAAGUCUACUAGAUCAUCUAUUGAAGAAACAAACUGCAAUGCUCCAUACGUUGUUUAUCAAAGAUUAUGGUCAACCCCUUGAUAUAUCAAAGUACACUUCACUGCGAGCAUUACACCUUCCAGCAAAUGAAGAGCUAAGGUAUCCUAAUCUGUCGCCACAUGAACAGCUUACAAGACACAUACAACACCUAAGGUAUCUUAAUCUGUCAUCACAUUGGUUCGAGAAACUUCCUGAAGGUAUAAGCAUUAUGUAUCAUCUACAAACGUUGGACCUCUCUCAUUGCAAAUACCUUCGUCACCUUCCAAAGGAUAUGAAGUAUAUGGCAAACCUCCGACACCUCUAUACCCAUGGAUGCAUAUCAUUGACAUGCAUGCCUCCAGGACUUGGACAGAUCACUUCUCUGCAGACUCUAACAUAUUUUGUUAUUGGUGAUGGCUUGGGAUGUAGUACUAUUGGGGAACUUCAAAACUUAAACCUUGGUGGAGAGUUAGAGUUAAGUGGUCUGCAAAAUGUAACAGAAGUGCUUGCAAAAGCAGCCAGUCUUGAAAAUAAAGAGAGACUCACACACUUAUCUCUCGCGUGGAAUGAUGAUGCCCGUGAGAAACCAGAUUCUCAUAAUGAGGUGUUAGAUGCCCUUAAACCUCAUCACCGGCUAGAGAUGCUAAGAAUAAAGUCCUACAAAGGCACCAAAUUACCGUCAUGGAUAACAGAUCUUAGUCUGUUGCAGCACUUGACUGAGCUCCAACUGGUUGGUUGUAGGCUGUGCGAGGAAUUUCCUCAAUUCUGCCAUUUCAAAGCCCUUGAAGUUCUGUAUUUGAAAAAGUUGGACAAAUUGCAAAGCCUAUGCAGUCAUAUGGUGUCUACGCCAUUUCCAGCACUGAAGCAACUCCAGUUACAUGAUUUGGAGAGCUUGGAGAGAUGGGUCGCAACAGAAGGAAAAGAAGAUGAAUUAUCCUUUCCUGUACUUGAGGAGGUUGAAAUAGAGAACUGUCCAAAGUUGACUAGCCUACCUGAAGCACCAAAGCUCAAGGUUGUAAAGCUGGAUGAAGGCAAGCCGCUGCUCUCCUUAGGAAUAGUUAAAUCAAGGCACAUGUCUUCAAUUUCUAAGCUACUACUGCGUGUCCGUGACACAGAAGCACUGCCUCAGAUAGAUUAUAAUUGGGAUUCAUCACAGAAACUGGAACUAUCUUUGGGUGGCACAGAAGCCGCACCUCUGUCACAACUGAGCAUAUUUGGCUGCAACUUUUUAUUCGUAUCAAGCCACUCACAGCUAACACCUGGGGUCUGGAAAUGGUUUGAACAUCUUGCAGUUUUAACAAUUGCAAAAUGUGAUGUGCUCAUCUACUGGCCAGAAGAAGUGUUCCAAAGCUUGGUAUCUUUGAAGUACUUGUUCAUUUUCUCCUGCAACAAGCUAAUAGGGCCCACACAAGCGAAAGGUGACAAACCUACACAAACAACAGAUCAAGUCCUGCCACAUCUAAACAUGAUACGUAUACACAAUUGUGAAAGCAUGGCACAGCUCUUCAUUCUUCCCCCAUCUAUCAGAAUUAUUCAUAUUUUUGAGUGCCCUAAGCUUGAGUUCAUAUGGGGAAAAGAGGAGCAUCUUGACACAUAUGCAUCGCUGGAACAUUGCCGCGACCCUGCAUCCACCACUGGUAACCUAGAGCAAUCGCCGUCUCCAAUUAUUCGCCGUCCAUGCCUUGUAGAUCUAACUAUAAGAGGAUGUGAUAGCCUGGUAACACUUCCAAAUCUACCACCGUCCCUCAAGGAAUUAUUCAUCCGGAAGUGUGAGAAGCUCUGCUCUGUGUCAGGAGACCUGUGUGCACUCGAGACCCUACAGAUUGUUAACUGCAAUAAGUUACAGUCAGUCAAUUCCUUGGGAGACCACCCAUCAUUAGAAACACUGUUUCUUUCUGGCUGCCGAUGCCUUGCAUCUUUAGGAUGUGAUGGUGGUCGUGGGAGUUACUCUGCUCUUCAGUGCCGUGAGAUCGAAGACUGCCCAGCCAUAGAUAUGAAGCAGUUUUACUAACGCCAUCAAACAGCUGCUUGACAGCUUUGAAUAUGAAGACGUAUCACACGUUCAUUCAAGCAGCUCUGAUGAAGGUACGACCUUUCACUUUCCUCUUAUUCAAUUUGUUUCCUUCAAAUUUCCCUUCUUUGCAUGCCCUCCUAUUUUGUUGACGAUCUGGUUUAUAGAUGGGCUUGCGGGGUGGGAUUUUGGGGUUUCAUCUUCGUUCCGGCUUUUAGACGGUCCUUUCUCACUGACGUGACCCCACAUAUAUUUUAGUUUAUACGGCUAUUGGUUUUCAGUCUUCGAUGCAGUUGAAGUGCAUAGGGAAAUUCUGGAAACAUGUUCUAUCCCUUGGUGUUGAGAUCAGCUGAUGCGGAAUCACUGAAGUACUACUGAAACGAGAUCCUGAUCGGUCUCAGUUGUGGAGAGCAAUUUGUGAUGAAUGGAAGCAGUCCCAAGGCUUCAAGAACUCAUGGAGUCGUGCUGUACCAUUCUCCACUGCCAGGGCCUAAACUAGGUACAUGGAAGGCGCACAGGUUGGGAUAGUAAAAAACCAUACCUUUGUCUGUGUUAGAGCAACUCCAAGAGGCUGCUAAUCUUACCCCAAUACCUUUUUUAGGAAAAAAAAAGAGAAAAAAUGAACUCCAACAAUCCACCUAAACCUUCCCCAAUUUUUUAGCGACGCUAAAAAACAGCCUGCCAUCGCGUAUAUUUUAGCGUUGGCGUUCCUUCCCCAAUCCUGAUUCCCGCACACCCGCGCGUCCCUUCCGAUGGGCCCAAUACGAUGACGUGGCCUGUGUUUGAAAUAUUGGGGGCUAUUUAUUAGCGAUCUGUUGUGGACUGAUAUGCUUUUGGGGGAAAUUUUUUUUGGGAGAACCCCCAAUACAUAGUUUUGGGGAAGAAUUUUUUAGGAUACUCUUGGAGUUGCUCUUAGAGCAUCUUCAAGAGUCUGCCAAAAAACUCUUCCCCAAAACCACAUCAUCCCACAAUAGAUCCCUAAUAAUAAAUUUUCCAAUAUUUUAAAAUUUGCCACAUCAGCAUGCGUGGACCCUAAGCUGGGCUGCCCCCUUCCCCCGCUGGAGCGUUUUCGCGCUUUCGCACUGUGGCUGCCUGAGCAGGGGUUGGUCUGUGCUGAUUUGCUGAACCAUGCAUAUUAUAUGCACUGGGACUGUCAUGCCCUCAGAAAAGCAUCAUCAUCUACUGGUAUGACGUCAAUUCAGCCUCAAACUCUCAACACUGAAGGCCUUCGAGGACUAGGACUACGCCAGCGCCACCCAUUGAAUCCCAUCCCCAUCUCGGCCACGUGCCAUGCCAUGCCCAGCCGUGGGGCACUGGGCAGCCCACGUGCAGCCACUUGUGGCCACGGACGCCCAGCCAGACCAUCACCCCCAAGAGGAGGAACGCCUUAUCUUUUCACCAUGAGAAAGCAGAGUCUAACGGUCCGUGGGCAAUAGGAAAAUCAGCACCGGCGGACUCCUGUGUUCACCUUCAUAUUUUUCGUGGUCUAUAUUAUGCGAGUUAUAGCAGUCCUAGGGAAUUUGUUUGGUGUCUCGGAGUUGUCAUAUUCCUAUUAAUGAUUGUGACAGCUUUUAUAGGAUACGUACCACCUUGGGGUCAGAUGAGCUUUCGGGGAGCAACAGUAAUUACAAGCUUAGCUAGCGCCAUACCAGUAGUAGGAGAUACCAUAGUGACUUGGCUUUGGGGUGGUUUCUCCGUGGACAAGGCUCUUGGAGUUGCUCUUAAUCAAUUCUCAUUUAGCACUCUGUUGUUAACAUGUUACCCCCAUGCUUUUCAUUUUUUCUGUGCAGACAUGACCCAUUUAUCCUUAAAAGGCAUAAAGGAGGGCACUCACAUGUACGCACGACUGGCAACUGGAAGCUUCGUUGCAAGCCUCUGCUAACGACCAAGUUUGUUUUCACGCCACUAUACCAGCUGCUGGUAAUUCUCUUGUCACUAAUGUCAUCCUGUCAUCCAUCAAAGCCGUGGAGAAUAUGAUGCCACUCUGAGUCCUUCAGUUUGCCACGUGAGCCGAUGAAGCAGAAACAGAUGAUGAUGAUGGAUGAUAUAACUGCGGGGAUGCAGACUUGCUUUCAACGGUCGAAAUGGAGCUACAAAUGAUUAGUCGUAGUCGUGUGUGGUCCUUCCAUCACCUUGUGUUAUUGAUCCCGUUUGUAUGUGUUGCGUUCUCUAUAUCCCUCCAUAGCUUUUCAGUUGUUGUCUCUUUUACGACUAUUUUGAUUCCUCUUUUCCUUUUUAUUAAUAUAACACAAAAAUCCUCUUGCCAUGUUUUUGAAAAAACAAAAUCGUGAGGAUGCUGCUUCAUGAAGCUAGCAACAUGGAUCUCAUAUGGUUCUUCCGAUUGUUGGGAUUGGUGGGAUGGGCAAGACCACCUUUAAUUUGUGCAACUCAUUUAUGACCCUGAUCGUGAUGCAUUUUGAGCUUCAGAGGUGGUGCUGUGUGUCAGAUUCGAAAAUGUUUUUUGACUCUUUCAUCACCGCCUUCAGUAGCUCAUGCCGGUCAGGUCUUCUCCAGUGACCAGUUCCUUCACCUUGGUUGCGCACCCCCUCACCUGGGCUUGCAGCUAGGUCAUAGCCUUGGCAUUCCGCAUCAUCUCAGCCAUGGCAUAGUCUAGUGCUACGUAGGUUGUGUCCGUCCCGGCUUCAAACAUGUCCUUCAUGAACAUAUCCGUAGAACUCCAAUCAAAUUUAACCAAACUAGUCAUGAAACAUGUCAUAUGUACCUCUUGUGAGAAUUAAAUUGGAGGCUUAAAAUCCUUCAAUUAGUAACAGUAAGAAAUUAAUUAAAAUUUGGAGUUUUGUUGCAUACAAGUUGCCAGUCACCAGUACAGAAAUGACCUUUAGUCCUGGUUAGGAAACCUUGGGAAACCUCAAAGAGCUCGGUUUUCCCGACCGGGAUUAAGUAUUCGGGAUUUAGUCCUGUAACACCAUGUGCUUUGCCUUAUAAUGAAAGCCACUAAAAAUUCGAACUUCUAAAAUUUUCCUAUAAACUAAAAUGUGCCUUGCUAUUUCAUACCUCAAAACCCUUUCAAAAUAAAUUUUACAAAACAACCUUCAUCAAAAUUCACCAUAUGCAUUUUAUUGUGCUUGUUUGAGUGUUGUUUGCUUGUGUGCUUUGUUGAAUCUUUUGGUGGCAACCAACCCCUUGACCUCCUUUCCAAAUUUCCCACAAAUCCUUGUUAAACAUCCCUUCGAAUUCCUCAAAUCCAUUCAAACUCCAUUUCAAAUCUCUUCCAAAAUUAUUCAAACCAUUUCCUUGGGUGCAGGCUCAAUUUCCCUCUCCUCUCCUUUCGGCCUGGCGUGGCUUGCUUCUCCUUCUCCCUUUCAGCCCAGCUCGGCCCGCCCCUCCUCGCCUUCUUCUUUCCCGAGCAGGCCACCUCCUCCUCCUCCUUUACUUCCGCACGGCCCGGUCCAGCCCACAACGGCCGCCACCUCUCUCUUCCUCUCCGCACCAGCACCGCCCAUGAGAAUGGCCCGUGACGACCCGGCUCCCACUCCAUGUCAGCAUUGCGUCCGCACACAGCCGCUGAUGAGUAGGUCCCACUCAAUAGCGUCAUCCCCAACCUCGUGUCGUCUUCCCCAAUGCGUCUCGUUGCCGCCGCCUUGUCCCAUCUCCGCCCGUCGCCUAUGCCGUCGUGCCGGCCCCGAAGAAAUAUCUCGCCGCUCCAUCCCAUCAUGGCCCCACCUGUCAUCCCGCACGGUCCUAAAAGAUCUCCGCCGCCCGCUCCACGGACCUCUGUGCACAAUCGACCUCUCGCGGCUAUAAAAGCUGGCGAGCCCCGCCAUCGCUCCCCGCACCUCAAGCUCGAGCUCCCUCCCUCUUCUUCUGCUCGAGCUCGCCUCCUCCCUCUUUAGUCCUCUCCUCCCUCCACCGGAGCACGGCUUCCUCCGAAGCCACGCCUCGCCGAGCCCUGCCCUUCCCUCUUCCUGUCUAGCGCGCCACCGCACAGAACUGCCAGCCAAGCACUAGCGCCGCCACCGUGACAAACUCGAGGAGGACAAAGUGCCGAGCGACGUUGGAUCGGUAACAAGCGGCCCUGAUCUGCCUGAGCUAAUUCGCGUCCCACACCCGAUGACAAGUAGGCCCGAGUCUAACGCCGAAAAUGCCGUCUGUUGGUGACCAGUGGGCACCACAUCAGCAAGCAAGCUCCCAGACAUCACCAUGGCACUGGGAGGGUGCCUCGCAAGCACCACGCGGACACACCCGUAGCAAAUGACACGUCAUCAUGGGUCCACAUGUGAGUUACUGUGUGACACUGUGCGGUCAACAGUCAACACUGACCAGGGACACACCUGGAGUAACUGUGUCGACGGUAAAAUUACUACGCGUACUCAGGUUAGUGUACACGGAAGUCUCGUUUACCCCUUUCCUUGCACAAGCAAGCUCCCAGACAAAUUGUCACUCGCCAUGGCACUGGGAGGGUGCCUCGCAAGCGCCACGCGGACACACCCGUAGCAAAUGACACGUCAUCAUGGGCCCACAUGUGAGUUACUGUGUGACACUGUGCGGUCAAUAGUCAACACUGACCAGGGACACACCUGGAGUAACUGUGUCGACGGUAAAAUUACUACGCGUACUCAGGUUAGUGUACACGGAAGUCUCGUUUACCCCUUUCCUUGCACAGAAAAAUUUCCAAAAAAUUCCUAAAAAUACUAGAGCCACCCUAUAACCCAUCCAAACCUUUUGCACCCCAUUUCCAUCAUACAAAAUUAUGGGAAAAUAAAUUUCACCACUCAGGCACUCAUAAAUUCCAAUAAAUCACAUAAAUUCCCGAUAAAUUCCCAAAAAUCAUCUCUCCUGUCAAACUCCGUUUCUGUCAAUUCUUCCACCAAAAUUCUUCUAAAAUUAAAUCCUUGAUAUCCCUUCCGGUGCCACCAUUAGUUUCUUUGUUUGAUUCUUGAUUUGUUCAUGUAUUGCUCUUCGACCUGUUAGUCACUAACAUCACACAAACCCCUUAUGCUCAUGCAUGCAUAUACACUGUAGCAUGUAUACAACUAUAUGAGUAUACAUACACCCCCCUUCACACACCUACCACCGAUACUUUUUUUAUUUUUGUUUUUGCAAAAAAAAAAUCAAAACUAUUUAGUCCCAGUUGGUAAUACCAACAGGGACUAAAAGGGGCGGGAGGUAGCCACUGGCGCCGUGAUCGUUUUCUUCCGGUUGGUAUUACCAACUGGGACUAAAAGGGGAUAUUAUAUCCCGGUUUUGGGACCCGUGAUAAAAGACCCCCCUAUCUCGACAAGUUAAUCCUAGAUGCAUUUUCGGAAGAUAUGCACCCUACAAACCGGUACUAAUACCGAAUUUUCUAAUAGUGAAUGGUGCCGGUAGGCGUCCCCUUCAGCUGCAUUCUCUUCCAACCUGCAUACAAAGAGUCACUGGAGAUAGCGUGAUACAACCUCGGUUAGUCAGGCGAUCAAAUGAUAUAACCUCGAGUUAAUCUAGGCCGAAGCCAAUUAGCUUCCGUGUUUCUAUCUGAAGCUGGCAGAGUUAGCGCCUUGUCUGGGCGAGCUAAGACCCGGGUUAUAGGCGAAGGGGAUGAGUUUUGGACAGAUCCCCAACAUCUCGAAAAAUUAAUCUCGGUUGGGCAUUGGAGAGUUAUGCUCCUUCCCAACCGGGACUAAUAGUCAGUUUUCUACUACUGGUUGUGUAGAGGUGAGGAGGCGAGGGUUUUAGGUGAGGACGAUGAGGUGGCACCGCUCCCUUUCUCCGAUUCAACUGUCUCUAUAAAAUUGAUAUGGUUAGAUAUGUCAUAUUCUGUGGUACCACCUCGCGAUCACGAUGUGUGUGCCUCUAUAUAUGUUGUGCCAUUGCAGUCCAUUCGAUCGAGGGAGUACCAUAGCGUGACUGAACUACUGAAAAUGAAAAGCCUACACUUCUGCAACAACACAGUCUACCCCUAUGUUUACAACCUGACUUCCUCCUACAUCGACCAGAACAAUGAGGCCACCAUGGUGACCACCACCUUGGUCAUGUUUAUGCUGGCCGUGUUCGUCUUCAACCUCAACCUCUUCAGCCGCUUCUUGGACGUGAGCGCGAUUCUCAACCCUAGCGUCCGCCUCUUCCUCUCCACCUCCCUGUCCCUCUUCCUGCCGGUCAUGUCCUACCUCUUCUCCGAGGCCAAGAACCAAGGUGCAACGACGACCAUGGCUGCUAGUACUAGUAGCUCCAGUUAUGGCGAGCUCGGUGACGAGCUGUCACUUCGAGCUAGGACGAUCCUCAUGUGGAUGCUUCUUGUGGAGCUCCUACGCAAGAAGGUGGAGGCCGUCCUGGUCAACGUGGGCAUGCAGUGGUACUCAGGCGCCAUCGAUCGCUUCGCCCGCAUUGUUUGGCUCUGCUAGCUCGUCUUCUACAAUGUCAAAAGCCCCGGCAAGAAGGCGAUCUACGGCACCUUAUGGGUCCUCACUGCUGCCAAGUUCCUGCAAAGGGUCGUCGUCAAGAUGGUGCUGGAGCGUUCCUUCGCCUACGGAAGGAACACCCAGCUGCUCAACUCAUACAUGGCCCAGAUCAUCCAACAACAAGAGCAAGAGGAGCACUUGGGGUCAUCGUAGGCGGAGCUGUUGAAGAAGUGCGAGUACACCGUGAUGGGAGAAGACAACCUGGAGAGGACGGCUGGCCGGCAUGCAUGGCUACCAGGUCGAGCUGAACAAGGCAGCCGUUGUCACCGUUGGUGACAUUUGGACGCAGGCAGCAGCCGAGCCGGACAGCCUCCUCCGGAGAGAACACCUCAGAAGGCUCUGCCUCUCCUUUGUUCUCUACAAGCUGCUGCGCCGGAGGUUCGAGGACAUCCCCACAACAAGGGAGGAGACCCGGAACUGCCGGAACCUCAUCUUCAAGGGCAUGUUGAAGGAGGAGGCGGAGCAAGGUGCCGAGGUCGCACUGUUCCAGUCUUCAACGAUGAGACCCAGUUCGUUUGCGAGUACUACCAUUCCGUCCUACCCGUCGUCUUGUCCGACCCUUUCUUCUUCAUAGCCAACUACAUCUUGUUUCCCAUUGUAGUUUGUGCCUUCUGCCUCCUAACAUUGAUCAUCUGCGGCAAUGGGAGCGUCCACUACGCCUACCAGAGCAUCAAAAGUGACAACUACAUCAUAUACACUGGCGCGACGACGCUGACCAGAUGCCUCCUGAGAAACAUCGCCCAUUCACCCGAGGUGCUAGCUGUUCGCCAGCAUCGACCUAGGCACCACCACUCUGCUCAUCCUGGCCUUCGUCUACGAGGAAGUCGUGGAGGUCCUCGUCUUUAUCCUCUCCAAUUGGCUCAUCGUGUCGCUCAUCUGUCAGUACACCGCCAAGCUCCACUGGCGGCAGAGCCGCAUCCUGUGUCGGCUCAUCCGCGGCAUCCUGUGGGUGCGAAGCAUGCUAUAAGCCACCCUAACCUCUGCUUCAAGCAGCUCUCCGUGCUAGGGUUCUUCCAACUGUCGUCGCCUUCGCCGUUCAUGGUGCCAACCAAGGCAGUGCCCAAGGAGGUAAUUAAAGAUUCUUCAUCGGUAAUGUCGCGCGGUUCUUGGUUUCAAGUACUGCCUGUAUUUUUUUUAUUUUUUUUUUGCCUUGUCAUUUGGUCCGUCAGAACUAAGUUUGUCGAAUUCCUUCUGAAUAAGCUUGAGACGCUGGUCGUGCUUGUUUGUUGGUGUGCCUACGUGCCGCGUAGUUGUCGUAGCAAAUACUUUCGGUUCCAUAUCGCCUGUGACAUUCAGCAUGUUGUCUUUUUUUUUUUGAAGCGCAUUCAGCAUGUUUCGCAGAUGUUUGGAAGGAUGAUCCAAAUUCUGAAUGCACAGACCAUGUUGGGAAAUUGAUUUCCCCACUGCGUGUCUGUGUUUACAUGCAUCUUCUUACUGUGGUUCCAAUGGCCCGUCUAGGCCCAUACAGGCCUAUCAGGUGGAUGGGCCGGCCGGCCUCCUGGAUCAACAAGGCCGGUAUCCCUUCUUGCCCGUCCGCCCCCGCUGUAGAAACAAAACCAGAACCAGCAGAUCCCCCGGGCCCUGAAGAGAAAGACGAUGGCAACAGAAGAAAGAGCUCGCGACGAAGCCGGCGAAAGCCCCCCAAACCCUCCCCAGCCCAGGCAGCGGCGGCGCGACGAGAUGGCCGACGACCCCACCGCCGGCGGCGGGAACACCGUCGAGGACGUCGUCCGCGCGGAGGUGAGCAUCCCCGGCCGGCCCUCGUCCUCUUUGCUGCGAGUGCCGGGGAAUCCGAUCUCCGCCCGUGCCGACCUGGCUCUGCUCGGCUGCCCCCGAUCUGCCCGCGCAGGUGGCGGCGCCUCGCCCCCAGUUCGGUUUCGGGUUAGAGGUGUCCCAUCGUGGUGUCUGGGCGGGGGGAAUCCGGCGACGAGGCGUUCUCCCUCCCGUUGGCUCGGUUGGCGCGGACGGACGCGGUGGGCCUGGUUGGGGAAUCUGUGCCCGUUUCGAUUUGGGUGUAGAAUAGGUAUACGUCUGCAAAAUUGAUAGAAUUAGGCCCGUUUAUAUCGGUCCUGGUACUUGGGCCAUGACGCUUUGGAUCGCCCACAAAAAUCCACAAACGCAGGCAGGGCCGGUCAUCCCGGAUAAAUCCAAAAUGAUUUUUACCGGUUACCGACCCCGGCGGUUUCGAUUUUUACCGAAAACCGGUCGGUAACCGGUAAAAACUGGACGAAUUCAAAAGACGAAUUGCCAGCGCAACUGGUAAAAACCGCUCGGUAACCCGCCCGAAUUCAAACCGCUUGGUAACGGUAAAAACCGCAUAGUAAACUGCCUGAAUUCAAAAUUUGAAAAUUUUGAAUUCGAGCGGUUUACUGUGCAGCUGAACCGGUGCUGGACCGGAGCGGUUGUUUUCGUCGGUUUUGUAAAUCCUAUUUGUGAUUCGGUGGGAGCAUUGCGCUAAAGACUCGGGCAUAAAGAUAGAUAAAAGCAACAAAAGAAACGGUUUCCCAGCUAAAGGUGGUGGGCCAAGUGACAGCUAGCAGUGGAGAGGGGGGCAUUCCAGCGGCCUGCAAGGCGGUUUCCCAGCUGGCCCGUCCUCAUUUACUAAUCCCCACCAAGCUUAGGGGGUGUUUGGAUCCCGGACUAAAUUUUAAUCCCUGUCACAUCGAAUGUUUGACACUAAUUAGGAGUAUUAAACAUAGGCUAAUUACAAAACCAAUUUCACAACCCCUAGGCUAAAUCACGAGACGAAUCUAUUAAGCCUAAUUAGUCCAUGAUUUGACACUAUGGUGCUACAGUAAACAUUCGCUAAUGAUGGAUUAAUUAGGCUUAAUAGAUUCGUCUCGCGAUUUAGCCUAGGGGUUCUGCAAUUAGUUUUGUAAUUAGCUCAUGUUUAGUCCUCCUAAUUAGCAUCCGAACAUCCGAUGUGACACAGACUAAACUUUAGCUCCAGGAUCCAAACACCCCCUUAGCAUCUUUCCUUUCGAUGAAAUAAAAAAAUUGUUAAUCUCAACUGCUCCUCGAUUACCGCAUAGAUUAACACCUCUUUAGCCUUUGUGGCACGGCACCUAAGGCUCCGUUUUCUUCCAUUGACUUAUUUUUAGCACCCGUCACAUCAAAUAUUUAGAUACUAAUUAGGAGUAUUAAACGUAGACUAUUUACAAAACCCAUUACAUAAGACGAAUCUAAACGGCGAGACGAAUCUAUUAAGCCUAAUUAGUCCAUGAUUUGACAAUGUGUUGCUACAGUACCAUAGUGUCGUAUCGAUGGCAUUAAUGAGCCUUAAUUAGGCUUAAUAGAUUCGUCUCGCCGUUUAGAUUCCACUUAUGUAAUUGGUUUUGUAAAUAGUCUACGUUUACUACUCCUAAUUAGUAUCUAAACAUUCGAUGUGACACGUGCUAAAAAUAAGACACGGGAAGAAAACGCCCCCUAAUACUUUCCUCACCUUUGCAGUGCCGUGGGCCCGCCACUUCCCUUCUGGCCCACAAGUCAUGGAGGCGCGCGAGGAGGGGUAUCGGUUUCACGAUGAUUAAUAAAGAAAGACACCGGCACACCGCACCGCAUGCACCUCCACCACUUGCGUUGCCUUUGCCUUUGCUUUUCCCCGAGCUCGCCCGCCUAGGAGCUCCAGCAGCCGGUCCGCUCCGCCACCGGUGCGGCAACCACGCCGCCGUCAGAUCGCCUCGCGCGGCCACCGGUCGUCCCCGCGAUACACCGCCGCCGGUGCGCCGUGCGCGGCGGCGCUGUCCCGCCGCUCCUCCGCCUACCGUCGGCCUGCGCCACCACCAGCGCACCGGCAGCACCGCGAGCUGCCGCGACGCCCCGACGUUGGUCCUUCCUGAGCCCGGUGUCGUCACCAGCGUAGCGGAGAAGCUAAUUACCUGAAGCAAUUUGUAGAAACGAAUAGUACUGGUUCGUUCACUUAUUUCUUUGCUCAAACUUAAUUUCUGCUUAGAGUUUGUGCCUAAAUUAGCUGCUUAUUCUGCUGGUUGCACGCAGGAGAUCGAGCUACGGGCGUACGGCCGGAUCGGAGGAGGACAUAUCAGCCGGGUUCCUGUUGGUUGUGUACUUGUGUUCCUGCCGACGGAGAAGCAACCAUGGCCGAGUUACUGAUCGGGCCACUGAUCUCCAUGGUGAAGGAGAAGGCAUCCAGCUACCUGCUGGACCAAUACAAGGUGAUGGAAGGCAUGGAGGAGCAGCGCAAGACCCUGGAGCGCAAGCUGCCAGCAAUCCUGCACAUCAUCCAGGAUGCGGAGGAGAAAGGAGCCUCCCGACCUGAAGUUGCAGUUUGGCUUAAAGACCUCAAGACAGCGGCCUAUGAGGCCAACGACGUCUUUGAUGAGUUCAAGUACGAGGCGCUUCGGCGAGAAGCCAAGAAGAAGGGCCACCACAGCAAGCUUGGAAAUGAGGUAGCAAGACUCCUAGUCCCCGCUCGUAAUCCCAUUGUAUUCCGUUACAGGAUGGGCAAGAAGCUACGCAGGAUUGUGCAGACCAUCGAGGCCUUGGUCACCGAGAUGAAUACAUUUGGUUUCAGGCACUUGCAGCAAGCACAGCCAUCAAGGCAGUGGCGACAGACAGAUUCCAUAAUCAUUGACUCCGACAGAGAUAUUCUUAGCAGAUCUAGAGAUCGGGAGAAGAAGAAAAUCGUGGGGAUGCUCCUUGAUCAAGCUAGCAACAGGGAUCUCAUGGUUCUUCCAAUUGUUGGGAUGGGUGGGAUGGGCAAGACCACCUUUGUGCAACUCAUUUACAAUGACCCUGCAAUCGAGAAGCACUUUGAGUUUCGGAGGUGGUACUGCGUGUCAGAUGAUUUCGAUGUCAGUACCAUUGCAAGCAACAUCUGCCAGACCAAUGAGAAAUAUCGUGAAAAAUCAUUGCAGGAGCUCCAUAGUACAAUAAGUGGAAAAAGGUACCUCAUUGUGUUAGAUGAUGUAUGGAAUCGGGAUGCUGAUAAGUGGGGAAAACUAAAGACCUGCCUUAAGCAGGGUGGCAAGGGCAGUGCAGUACUAACAACAACUCGUGAUGCAGAAGUGGCUCGCAUUAUGACCAUGGGUGUAGCUAAAGCCCAUAAUAUCGAGAAUCUGAGCGAUGAGCAUUUAAAGGAAAUUGUCCAGAGCAGAGCAUUCAGCUUGCAAAAUCCAAAUAUGGAAGAGCAAGAUGGCAUUCUCAGUGGAUUUGUUCGUCGAUGCGUUGGAUCUCCCUUGGCUGCCAAAGCCUUUGGCUCUAUGUUGAGUAACAGGACUAGUAUAAAUGAAUGGAAGGAUAUAUUAGCUAAAAGUAACAUUUGUAGUGAGAAAACCGGAAUUUUACCGAUCCUCAAGCUCAGUUUUGAUGACCUAUCCUCAGAUAUGAAGCAGUGCUUUGCAUUUUGUGCUUUAUUUCCUAAAGAUUAUGAGAUCGAUGUGGACCUCUUGAUUCGACUGUGGAUGGCACAUGAUUUCAUACCUGUGCAGGAGGAUGACAAUCUAGAAACCGUAGGAAAAUAUAUUUUUGAGGAGCUAACUCGAAGGUCAUUCUUUCAAGAUGUCAAGCAAACACUUC
rnacentral:lncRNA from 1 species